UACGUAGGGUGCGAGCGUUAAUCGGAAUUACUGGGCGUAAAGCGUGCGCAGGCGGAUUGUUAAGCAAGAUGUGAAAUCCCCGGGCUUAACCUGGGAAUGGCAUUUUGAACUGGCAGUCUAGAGUGUGUCAGAGGGGGGUGGAAUUCCACGUGUAGCAGUGAAAUGCGUAGAUAUGUGGAGGAACACCAAUGGCGAAGGCGGCUCACUGGACAAGUAUUGACGCUGAGGUGCGAAAGCGUGGGGAGCAAACAGG
rnacentral:rRNA from 1 species